AGUGCCCCGAGAGGCCUCCCUCCACGACACGUUGUUAGGAAAGGGUCACUUCACGGUGAAGACAUGAAAGCUCUCACUUACGUCUCGUGGCGUCUGGUCAUGCGGCGAUUUUGGCUUUUAUUUGGUGCAGGUGUAUUGCCCAUAACACGGUGGAGGGAUAUUCUUUGUAAAGCUUCUCCAUUUUUGGUGCAGAACUGUCCUUUUUUCGUCAGGCAAUUUUAAAACGUUAGUGAAUACAACCAACCCCACAUGCAUGGCUAGAUAGCAAUAAAGGUUAAGCGAGAUGAUAUGGUGGUUUUUUUUCGUUAUCAUUUAGGGUGAACCUUUCCUACGGAGUCACUCUUGAGCAGAUUCUUUUGGGACAAACUGGGUUUGAGUCGAGCAAAACAGCCCUUAAGAAAUGAUUUUGCAGCUUUAAAAGGAUGUAUCAGUAGGCGUGAACACCUAAAUUGUCGUCCUCCAGGUUCCUUUUUUGGUUAUAGCCAUUACAGCGGAUUGCACGUACCUUUUUGCAGUGUAUUUGUCUAUUUUUUAGUUAAACUUUUGUUGCUGCUGCUUCUCUGAAACAAAAACACUGGCUUUUCAACUCCAAAGGUUGUUCUAUUAAAGAAUAUGAACAAAAACAUGCCUUCUUUCACAGAUGCUCAACUGUAUUAAAAAGAAGAAGAUCUGCUAUCCUUAUUAAAUGCGCAGCCUGAGAUCAUCGAGUAAACUAUAAAAAACAGGAAAAUGUUUACAAAUAGGUGUCAUUUGAUGUUUGAUACAUUUUUUUUUUCCAUUUAAAAAUCGCUCGGUUAAAUUGAACUGGUUCUUCUUGUUGUGUUAAGAGACAAACAAGCUCUUGGGAUGGGUCAACAUUAUUUGGAUACAAGUGCACCUCCGAUAUUUGCCUUAGAACUUGCAGAGGCCAUAGUUCACAUUCAAGUGAAGUGAGUGUAUGCAGGGGCCUGGGCCCCCGACCCCAAGUCACCAGUGCGGACUUUCUCACACUUAUCUACCUGUGAAAUCCUUCAUACCUCUCAUAACUGGUCAAUGACUGUAUCAGCAAACUGCAUCAGGUGUUUUUUCUACAUGCUUUUUACACAGAUUAUAUGGAUUAUUGUAUUAGUAGUUUUUGGUGCUUCUUUUUUUAAUGUAAUAGCUCUUAAAAGCUCGUAGUUCAAGUGGUCGUUUUUUUUUUUUUCUUUCAUUUUUCUAGAUGAUUGUUUUGUGUUAAUAUUGUCAAUUUGAAAUAGCUGUUAUUUGCUUAUUCUCUACUAAGAGUUCUUACCUUUAUCAUUUGAAAUGCUACAUGACCCUAAUUAAUUAAAAUGACUUAAUAACCAUUGUAAAUACGGUAUUGUGCAAAACCCAUUUUCAUUCAUUUCAAUUGCUAGUGUUGUAUAAAUGACCUUUUUGUCUAGACACCAUUUCUCUUUAUGAAAUAAAGAAACAAUGCAUAUCACCUUCGGUGUCUUGAGGCUGUUUUUUGCAAAGACAUGAGUCUUCAGAAGGAUAUCUGUGGCCCAACACCACCGGCCCCCCUGAACCUCAAGCCCUGAACCCCCAGGGGCCGACGG
ensembl:lncRNA